UGUUGGUUCUCCCGCAACGCUACUCUGUUUACCAGGUCAGGUCCGGAAGGAAGCAGCCAAGGCAGAUGACGCGUGUGCCGGGAUGUGGCUGGCAGGG
rnacentral:SRP_RNA from 4 species